GCACCACCCUCGCGCCAGCCAUACCGGCCUCUCAGCCCAUCAUAUCUCUGGGUCAAGAGGACUCGAUUAGUAAGAACCACGCCGAGGAGCUGCGCACGCCGGUGGCCGCCCUUCAUUCCAUCAUGCAUAUCCGCGCACGGCAGGUUGAAAGGCUUAACCGCUGGCUGAGUCCUUCUCCAGCCCACGGGUUAGAUUUCCUAAUUUCGCAUCUGUGUUGAUCUAUUUUGUACAGGGAUGCUUGUUUGAUACUCUCCAGUGCAGGACAUAUAACGCUGACUAGAUUAGUGGAGAGGUAGGCAGAUCACUCCCAAACACUUGUUAGUGCAAUUCCAGUUUAUAAACUGACGGGUGAAUACUUGUGGUACUGCAAUUAACUUCUUCGUGGUGACAACCACAUAAGCUUUUCAGCUGUUCGGCUUGUAGGUACGAUCUUGGUUGAUUGACUCUUAUCCUGGGAACUAAGUUGUCAGCUAUAUGGUCUGUUCUUUUACUGUUCUCCUUAAUGAUGUAAUCGAUGGGAUCUAAUUGAUUGUACUAACAGCUCCUUCAGUAUUCUUGGAGUACUGGUCCAUAGCUACAUGAAAUCAGAAGACAUAUGCUAGACUCAAGGUAUUUAUACGAGAAAGCUUCAAGGAAGAAUACAUGUCCAAUCAUUUGACAUACCUGGCCCAAUCAUCAUGUAAUUAUCACUAGGAUUAUAGUGCUCGGUUUUCCUUUUGGAUAUUUCCAUUUGCUAGGACACAUACACUAAGACAUCAAUGUAAUUUGCUUAUGGAUUUGAUUUUAGUGGUGAUAAAAGUAACCCAAUAGCUUAAAGAAGAGAAGACGACACUAAAGAGGCUGGAAGAGACGACCAAGCUAUCAGGAAUGGAUCGUUACAUCGAGGAAAUGGAGACGGAAUCGACAUUUCACUGACCUGAUACAAAGCAUGAGAAAAUGUUUGUUCAUUUCAUGGGUAGUCAGAUGUACAUAGCUCUUUCAGAAAAACAUAAAGAAGACUUUCUCCUGGUACAAGUGCAUACCAGUUUGAGAAACCAGUUUCUUAGCUAGGCCUAUAAUUGUUGGCUUCAAAUUAUUGAACUUUUGGGAUUGAUCAACAUUCGAGAAGUGCAAAAUAUGAAGAAUGAAAUUAUAUGAAACCUCAUUUUUCUUCAUGUUCUUAUAUUGAGGGCGAAAGUUUAUUAUGAUUAUUGUGGUUCUUUUGCUUAGAUAAGAUGGAAGUUAUCAUGUAUACAUUUUUCCUUGCCGCUGGCAUUUAUGCAUGCAUUGGCCUAUUUCCUUUUUAUGGCUUUGUUAGUACAUUAUUAGAUCCCUACUAAUUUUGCUAUAUUUUGUUGAUUUUUUUUAAAUGCUUGUAUGAACAAAGAAAUUUCUAUGAUUACAAUUGCGCGCACUACACAUUUACUAGCUAGAAUGAAAUAUUAUAUUAACAUUAACAUGAAAACCUCUUCAGGUCUUAC